AAUAUUGGACAAUGGGCGAAAGCCUGAUCCAGCCAGGCCGCGUGUGUGGAGAAGGACUUCGGUUUGUAAAGCACUUUAAGUGGGGAGGAAGGGUUGUAGGUUACUACCCUGCAAUUUUGACGUUACCAACAGAAUAAGCACCCGCUAACUUCGUGCCAGCAGCCGCGGUAAUACGAAGGGUGCAAGCGUUAAUCGGAAUUAAUGGGCGUAAAGCGCGCGUAGGUGGUUCGUUAAGUUGGAAGUGAAAGCCCCGGGCUUAACCUGGGAAUUGCUUUCAAAACUGACGAGCUAGACUACGGUAGAGGGUAGUGGAAUUUCCUGUGUAGCGGUGAAAUGCGUAGAUAUAGGAAGGAACAUCAGUGGCGAAGGCGACUACCUGGACUGAUACUGACACUGAGGUGCGAAAGCGUGGGGAGCAAACAGG
rnacentral:rRNA from 1 species